UCUUCCUUUUAAUAUUUUCCUUUCGUCGAUUUCCUUUUGCCAAUAAUUUCUUCUUCUUUUCUUUCCUUUUGUAAUUUUAAUAAUAAUAAUAUAACAUGUGAUACUUAGGAUGAUACUUCUAGCGAGUAAAUACAUGGAUAUGGAUUCGUGAACAUUUAACGCGAUGCAAAAAAAAAAAAAAAAAGAGUAAAGAAAAAAAAAAAGAUAAAAGAAAAAGAAAAAAGAAACAUUGUACUUACAAAGAGUACGCAACAAGCUAGAAACGAGCAGAGUUAGAGUUAGAGAGAGAAAGAGAGAGAGAGAGAGAGCUUUGCCUGCUUCGUUCGCCGUUUUAAAAGGGCUAUAAAGCAUUUACCCUGGCGAAGACAAAAAGAAAAACGGAAGAAGAGAGGAAAGGAAAGGUAAAACGAAAAAUAAGGAGGAUGUCUGCUGUAGACCGAGAGUCGAGAGAGAGAGAGAGAGAGAGAGAGAGAGAGAGAGAGAGAGAGAGAGAGAGAGAGAGAGAGAGAGAGAGAGAGAGAGAGAGAAAGAAAGAAAGAGAAAGAAAGAGAUGGUUGGACCAGGGUCGGGGAUGAAUAGUAGUAGUAGUAGUAGUAGUAGUAGUAGUAGUAGUAGUAAUAGUAGUAGUACAGUAGUAGUACUAGUAAUAGUGUUAGCGAUGGUGGCGGUGGUGGUUGGUGGUGGUGAGAGGAACGAGGUUGAAAUAAACCGGUGGCAGUAAAAAUAUUUACUGUGGUGUAAAUACAGCGAUAAAAGUGGUCUCUACAAGUCAGAGAAGGGGACUUAUUUUCAGAGGUCAGGUACAACACGUCAUAAAGAAGAACCUUGAAAAAUAAAAUUUAACACGGAGAGAGAAAUAUGCGAGCAAAGUUUGAAGG